GGGAUUGCCUCAGUAACGGCGAGUGAAGCGGCAACAGCUCAAAUUUGAAAUCUGGCCCCGUCGGGGUCCGAGUUGUAAUUUGUAGAGAGUGCUUCGGGUGAGACCGCGGUCUAAGUCCAUUGGAACAUGGCGUCAUAGAGGGUGAGAAUCCCGUAUGCGACUGUGGCUCGAGCCCAUGUGAAGCCUCUUCGACGAGUCGAGUUGUUUGGGAAUGCAGCUCAAAAUGGGUGGUAAAUUUCAUCUAAAGCUAAAUACUGGCUGGAGACCGAUAGCGCACAAGUAGAGUGAUCGAAAGAUGAAAAGCACUUUGGAAAGAGAGUCAAACAGUACGUGAAAUUGUUGAAAGGGAAGCGCUUGCAACCAGACCUGUCCGUAGGUGAUCAGCCGCUGUUCUCAGUGGUGCACUCGCUCUGCGAUCAGGCCAGCAUCGGUUCUGGCGGUCGGAUAAAGGUCUUGAGAGUGUAGCUCCCCUCGGGGAGUCUUAUAGCCCUCGGUGCAAUGCGGCCAGCUGGGACCGAGGACCGCGCUUCGGCUAGGAUGCUGGCGUAAUGGUUGUAAGCGACCCGUCUUGAAACACGGACCAAGGAGUCUACAACUUAUGCGAGUGUUUGGGUGUUAAACCCAUACGCGGAAUGAAAGUGAACGGAGGUGAGAACCCUUAAGGGCGCAUCAUCGACCGAUCCAGAUGUCUUCGGAUGGAUUUGAGUAUGAGCAUAAUUCGUGGGACCCGAAAGUAAGCAUCCAUUAGAGUAUAAUCAUAUAGAAUCAUAGCUAACAUGUGUUAUAGGAUGGUGAACUAUGCCUGAAUAGGGUGAAGCCAGAGGAAACUCUGGUGGAGGCUCGCAGCGGUUCUGACGUGCAAAUCGAUCGUCAAAUUUGGGUAUAGGGGCGAAAGACUAAUC
rnacentral:rRNA from 1 species